rnacentral:rRNA from 1 species
CGCAAGCCUGACGGAGCAAGACCGCGUGCGGGAGGACGGCCUAAUGGUUGUAAACCGCUUUUCUCUGGGAAGAUGAUGACGGUACCAGAGGAAUCAGCCUCGGCUAACUCCGUGCCAGCAGCCGCGGUAAUACGGAGGAGGCAAGCGUUAUCCGGAAUUAUUGGGCGUAAAGCGUCCGUAGGUGGUUAUUCAAGUCUGCUGUCAAAGCGUGGGGCUUAACUCCAUAGAGGCAGUGGAAACUGGAUGACUUGAGUGCGGUAGGGGUCGGGGGAAUUCCCAGUGUAGCGGUGAAAUGCGUAGAUAUUGGGAAGAACACCAGUGGCGAAGGCGCUCUACUGGGCCGCAACUGACGCUGAGGGACGAAAGCUAAGGGAGCG